GACGAACGCUGGCGGCGUGCUUAACACAUGCAAGUCGAACGGUGAAGCGCCUUCCUUUUUGGUGGGUGUGGAUGAGUGGCGAACGGGUGAGUAACACGUGAGUAACCUGCCCCCUUCUUCUGGAUAACCGCAUGAAAGUGUGGCUAAUACGGGAUAUUCUGGGUCUGUCGCAUGAUGGGUCUGGGAAAGAUAUUGUUUCGGUGGGGGAUGGGCUCGCGGCCUAUCAGCUUGUUGGUGGGUGAUGGCCUACCAAGGCGGUGACGGGUAGCCGGCCUGAGAGGGUGGACGGUCACACUGGGACUGAGACACGGCCCAGACUCCUACGGGAGGCAGCAGUGGGGAAUAUUGCACAAUGGGCGCAAGCCUGAUGCAGCGACGCCGCGUGAGGGAUGGAGGCCUUCGGGUUGUGAACCUCAUUCGCCAGUGAAGCAGGCCUGCCUCGUUUGUGGGUGGGUUGACGGUAGCUGGAUAAGAAGCGCCGGCUAACUACGUG
rnacentral:rRNA from 1 species